rnacentral:rRNA from 1 species
CCUACGGGAGGCAGCAGUGAGGAAUAUUGGGCAAUGGGCGAGAGCCUGAACCAGCCAAGUCGCGUGAAGGAUGAAGGCUCUAUGGGUUGUAAACUUCUUUUAUAGGGGAGUAAAGUGAGGUACGUGUGCCUUUUCGUAUGUACCCUAUGAAUAAGCAUCGCCUAACUCCGUGCCAGCAGCCGCGGUAAUACGGAGGGUGCGAGCGUUAUCCGGAAUUAUUGGGUUUAAAGGGUGCGUAGGUGGGUAGUUAAGUCAGCUGUGAAAGUUUGUGGCUCAACCCUGAAAUUGCCGUUGAAACUGGUUGACUUGAGUAUAUGUGAGGUAGGCGGAAUGCGUGGUGUAGCGGUGAAAUGCAUAGAUAUCACGCAGAACACCGAUUGCGAAGGCAGCUUACUAAACUAUAACUGACACUGAAGCACGAAAGCGUGGGUAUCAAACAGGAUUAGAUACCCUUGUAGUC